UUAUGGGGAUGGUAGUGAAUCAUGGAUGAGGUAUUUGUAUGGAUGGGGUGUUUCGAGAUUCCC
rnacentral:rRNA from 1 species